UACGUAGGUGGCAAGCGUUGUCCGGAUUUACUGGGCGUAAAGCGCCCGCAGGCGGCUUGGCAAGUUCAAGGUGAAAUCUCCCGGCUUAACUGGGAGGGUGCCUCGAAAACUGCCAGGCUUGAGGCGAGGAGAGGGAUGCGGAAUUCCAGGUGUAGCGGUGAAAUUCGUAGAUAUUAGCAGGAACACCGGUGGCGAAGGCGGCUAUCUGGACGACAACUGACGCUGAGGCGCGAAAGCGUGGGGAUCAAACAGG
rnacentral:rRNA from 1 species